rnacentral:rRNA from 1 species
UACGGGGGGAGCAAGCGUUGUUCGGAUUUACUGGGCAUAAAGGGCGCGUAGGCGGCCACCGCAAGUCGACUGUGAAAUCUCCGGGCUUAACCCGGAAAGGUCAGCCGAUACUGCGGGGCUAGAGUACGGAAGAGGCAAGUGGAAUUCCUGGUGUAGCGGUGGAAUGCGCAGAUAUCAGGAGGAACACCUAUAGCGAAGGCAGCUUGCUGGGACGUUACUGACGCUAAGGCGCGAAAGCGUGGGGAGCGAACAGG